rnacentral:rRNA from 1 species
AUUGAACGCUGGCGGCAGGCCUAACACAUGCAAGUCGAGCGGCAGCGGGAAAGUAGCUUGCUACUUUUGCCGGCGAGCGGCGGACGGGUGAGUAAUGCCUGGGAAAUUGCCCAGUCGAGGGGGAUAACAGUUGGAAACGACUGCUAAUACCGCAUACGCCCUACGGGGGAAAGCAGGGGACCUUCGGGCCUUGCGCGAUUGGAUAUGCCGGGGUGGGAUUAGCUAGUUGGUGAGGUAAUGGCUCACCAAGGCGACGAUCCCUAGCUGGUCUGAGAGGAUGAUCAGCCACACUGGAACGGAGACACGGUCCAGACUCCUACGGGAGGCAGGAGUGGGGAAGAUUGCACAAUGGGGGAAACCCUGAUGCAGCCAUGCCACGUGUGUGAAGAAGGCCUUCGGGUUGUAAAGCUCUUUCAGCGAGGAGGAAAGGUUGAUGCCUAAUACGUAUCAACUGUGACGUUACUCGCAGAAGAAGCACCGGCUAACUCCGUGCCAGCCGCCGCAGUAA